rnacentral:rRNA from 1 species
UACGUAGGGUGCAAGCGUUGUCCGGAAUUAUUGGGCGUAAAGAGCUCGUAGGCGGCCUGUCGCGUCGGCUGUGAAAACCCGGGGCUCAACCCCGGGCCUGCAGUCGAUACGGGCAGGCUAGAGUCCGGCAGGGGAGACUGGAAUUCCUGGUGUAGCAGUGAAAUGCGCAGAUAUCAGGAGGAACACCGGUGGCGAAGGCGGGUCUCUGGGCCGGAACUGACGCUGAGACGCGAAAGCGUGGGGAGCGAACAGG